AUGGUAGAGCGUUUUCGGGGAGAAGAAGUAAUCUACCAUAGCUUUGAUAGUGCAGAAGACGACCCGUAUGGCUACUACGCUCCCGAGUUCCUAAAUGGAUUGACUCCCAACGGUCUGCCUCCGCAUGCACUCAAACUGAAGCUCAACUGCCCCGUCAUACUUCUGAGGAACAUUGAUCCGGCUAAUGGUCUAUGUAACGGGACGAGGCUUGUGGUGCGAGGUUUCGAGAGGAAUGCCAUCGACGCAGAAAUCGUGAUCGGACAACACGCAGGUAGGAGGGUAUUCCUUCCUCGAAUACCCCUAUGCCCGUCUGACAACGACAUGUUUCCAUUCAAGUUCAAGAGGAAGCAAUUUCCGGUAAGGCUUAGCUUUGCUAUGACGAUUAACAAGGCUCAAGGCCAGACGAUUCCGAUUGUUGGCGUGUACCUACCUAAUCCUGUGUUCUCUCAUGGUCAACUCUAUGUCGCAGUGUCUCGAGCCACCGCAAAGAGAAACAUAAAGAUCCUCAUUGAGAAGGAGAAUGCGAAGAAGCAAAGCGAUAAACCUAAGAAGCGAAAAAGACCUGCCUUGUCCUUACAAACCUCGAUGAAGAACAUCGUCUAUAAGGAAGUCCUUACAGGCUGA
rnacentral:rRNA from 1 species